rfam:Chloroflexi bacterium RBG_19FT_COMBO_47_9 rbg_19ft_combo_scaffold_5211, whole genome shotgun sequence.
CGAUAAGAAUACGCUUCGCCCAAGACAGCAGGGGCGCAACAGGCGCUUAAUUUCCUGCCGAGGUGGAGAUGUCUCCAAGAGUUGUGAACCCACAUAGGGUGGGUAAAUAAUUGGUCGCGGAGAGUCUUUGCCAGAAACUGGUUGCGAGGCAAAGACUUUUUAUUUGGAAAG